UACGUAGGGUGCAAGCGUUGUCCGGAAUUAUUGGGCGUAAAGAGCGUGUAGGCGGCUUGGCAAGUCUGACGUGAAAGCCCGCGGCUCAACCGCGGAUUGUCGUUGGAAACUGCCUCGCUAGAGUCCGGAAGAGGAGAGCGGAAUUCCUGGUGUAGCGGUGGAAUGCGCAGAUAUCAGGAAGAACACCCGUGGCGAAGGCGGCUCUCUGGGACGGUACUGACGCUGAGACGCGAAAGCGUGGGGAGCGAACAGG
rnacentral:rRNA from 1 species